CUUGGUCAGGACGAACGCUGGCGGCGUGCCUAACACAUGCAAGUCGAGCGAGGAGAUUCCUCGGGAUGAUCCUAGCGGCGGACGGGUGAGUAACACGUGGGCAACCUGCCUCAUAGAGAGGAAUAGCCUUCCGAAAGGGAGAUUAAUACCUCAUAACAUUGCAGUUUCGCAUGGAACAGCAAUUAAAGGAGUAAUCCGCUAUGAGAUGGGCCCGCGGCGCAUUAGCUAGUUGGUGAGGUAACGGCUCACCAAGGCGACGAUGCGUAGCCGACCUGAGAGGGUGAUCGGCCACAUUGGGACUGAGACACGGCCCAGACUCCUACGGGAGGCAGCAGUGGGGAAUAUUGCACAAUGGGGGAAACCCUGAUGCAAGCAACGCCGCGUGAGUGAUGACGGCCUUCGGGUUGUAAAGCUCUGUCUUCAGGGACGAUAAUGACGGUACCUGAGGAGGAAGCCACGGCUAACUACGUGCCAGCCGCAGC
rnacentral:rRNA from 1 species